GGGAAUGACUCAAUGCUUGAAAGUAGGAAUGAUUCCUCCCCACCCAAGCCAUGUGGACUCCCAAUAUUGCUAUCUGCCUUGAGCCUUCCCCUUCCUUCUUGAAUCCAGGUGGGGAUCUUCAGCUGCCUGGCCAUGGGACAACCUCCCCAGCCCCCUUUGCAUUCCCCCACCCCAGCCAGAGAUGCAGAGCAGCUUUGAUCACUGACAGCAGCCUUCUUGGAAGAAAGA
rnacentral:lncRNA from 1 species